rnacentral:miRNA from 1 species
UGAAAGACUGAUGGGUCCUGGG